UUCCAAUUUUGGGGUUUAGCCAGUUUGGUCAGAUUUUCUACCACUCAUGUUGAAAAACUCUUAACUGAAACAGAGGUGUUGUGAAGAUUACAGAUUAUAAGGGCAAAAUGGUGGCUGUAUCAGUGAACAGUAGUCAGGAUUAUUUUUUACUUUCCAGUGACUCAAACCUCUCCUAAACUGCUCUCUCAGUUUUGGCUCCGUCUUCCCAUGAUAAUAAUAGGUGGUGUAGAGAGGUGACAGAGUCAAGGAACAUGGUUCUUGUUUUCUGAAGAUGGUUCUUUCCUCAAGCCCUUUGAGUCUUCUUUGGUCUUAUAUUCUCAUCACAGAAGGAGAGGUGAUUGUCUUUCCCCAGUUUUGUCUACCAUUCCGGUUCCAUCUGCAUUCCCGGAGGAGUCCUGUUGAGGGCAGAGUGACUGUGAGCAAAACAAGAAGAGCUGUGUCACCAAGUUCCAUAAAAUCUGGGAGCCCAAGCAGCAUAUUUGUGGGAUUUGUCUGACAGAACGCAAUGGAAACAGAGCGUGGCAUUCGCUCCAUCUCCCCCAGAUGUUCCAUAAGUUUCUGCUUCCAUCAGCAAUGUAAGGAAGUGCCCAAUUCCUCCUACCCCCACAUUACUGAGAAUCUUAUCAAAUUUUUUGAUCUUUUCUGAUUGGCCCUCCUAAAUUGAGUGGAAUGAUUGCAAAGUGUUUCCAAUAAAUGAGGAUACUCCACCCCUUACCCUCCAAAAGUCUUCUCUUCAAUUUGGGUUUGGUGCCAGCAAUUUAGUCUUGACUGAUACAAUAACAUUUCAAAUUUCUAGAAAUAGUUGGGGGAGGGGAAGACUAGCCUGUGUUGUAGAGCUUUGAAGAGAUAAAAAUAGCUUUGCACCUGAUGCCUCUCCCUGAGAAAGUAGUCAGCCCCAGAGAGUCCCAGUUCCACCUUCUUUUGAAAUUAUCUUAGAGGUAACCAAUGGAUCCCCUCCAUUCAGCUCUCCAAUCCUGAAGUCAAAAUGGAAUGCAUCUCUGCUCUUCCUCUGGGCAUCAUCUAAUUUUUUUGUUCUUGUUUUCCUUGUGCUGGAAUCUACAACACCCUCUCCUAGCCCCUCAACCAGCCUUUCUUCUGCAGAGCAACUUAGUUCUAAUUAGCAACUACAAACCUAUUCACCUACAUCCAAG
rnacentral:lncRNA from 10 species